UACGUAGGGUGCGAGCGUUAAUCGGAAUUACUGGGCGUAAAGCGUGCGCAGGCGGUUCGCCAAGUCAGGUGUGAAAUCCCCGGGCUUAACCUGGGAAUUGCGCUUGAAACUAGCGGGCUUGAGUGUGGCAGAGGGGGGUGGAAUUCCACGUGUAGCAGUGAAAUGCGUAGAGAUGUGGAGGAACACCGAUGGCGAAGGCAGCCCCCUGGGUCGACACUGACGCUCAUGCACGAAAGCGUGGGGAGCAAACAGG
rnacentral:rRNA from 1 species